rnacentral:lncRNA from 1 species
UCAGAUAAAGCUCAAAAUAAGCAAUGAAAAAAUUAAUCAAAUCUUACAAAGCAUCAAUAUUCUCAUAACCUUGGAUAUGCAUACAAAAGAGAAUGAUAAUGUAUCUUUGGUGGCAGGAAAUUGAAGCCGAAUUGAAGUUGAAACAAGUUCAAGAAUUAGCAAAGGCAGAGUUAAAUGAGAAUGUGAAUGAAAUUUUGUGGAACCUACCUCAACCAAGAUAGCCCUUGACGAGCACGACAACACCAGCCCUCAACGUCGACACCACCAGCCCUCAAUGCAACAACCACCCCACGACGAACCCUAGCCAAAGACUCCCCAAACCAACAUGCACAGUGAAAGAACCGCGAUCAACAAACCCUAGCCCAAGACCACCGUCAACAACCACCAGCAAUGACUAACCAAGAAAGUCACAGAGCGUGAUGAAAGGGAGGGAAGUGAAGAAAGGGAGGGAAGCGAAGAAAGGGAGAGACAGACGAAAGCGACGAAGGGUAGAAAAUGAAAUUGGGGAACGAAAACCACAAUUUGGGGUUAUAUCACUAAUGAACUUACCGACGGCUCAAAAGCCUUCGGUAAUCACCUCAAUACCGGCGGCUUCAAAGCCUUCGAUAAUAAGCCCUCGGUAAAUCCAGCUUUUCUUGUAGUAUCGUUUCCCUAAAGACUCAUAGGCCUAAACUUUCAUGUGAUUUCUUGAUUAUUUAAAACUUGUGCCUUUUCUUACAUUGUGCCUUUUCUUUCGUAGAGCUUUU